GCGUAUAAAAUAUCCGCUCGUCACUUUUAUUGCGCGUAUGCGUGAUGUACACAUAUGCGUGACAACUGCAUUAUACAUGGGAUCUUCAGCGUACUACCUGAAAUGUGAUGGUCACGUGUAGGCGUGCUACAUGUCUAUGCGUGACAUGGAAAAUGUCCCAAUGUAGUACGUGAAAGCUUCAGUGUUGUACGCCUUCACCCUUUCUUCCUCUAGGGGUUCUCUGUUUCCUGUAGUGAGCUUUCUGUAUCUUCCAAGCAGCCUUUUGUUUCUUGCUUCUUGAUUUGUUUGUGUCUAUUUUCUUUUUAAAACUUUCUGUAAUCAAUGAAAUUCAACCAAUCAAAGUAAUAUCCAUUCUAACCUCAAAUUUAUUGAUUAUUCAAAGAAAUUGUUAAUAAAUCAAUUAAAAUAAAGAAGGAAAAACACCAAAGAUGCGCAUACAUCAUGCCACAUUUGGCGUUUUAAACACCAAGUAUAAGGCUCAAUUGGGACACCAAGUUCGUGUCCUUGGAGGGUAGAAUAAAUGGCGUUUUAGAUGCCACAUUUGGCGUUUCAAAUGCCAAGCAUAAGGCUAAGAUUCGGGAAACAAGUUGGUGCCCCUGGAAGGUGUAAAAGUGGCAUUUAAGAUGCCAUAUUUCAAUUCUAAAAUGCCAAGUAUAGAGCUCAAGAUUGGGGCACCAAGUUGGUGUCCCUGGAAGGUGUGAAAGUGGCAUUUUACACGCUAUAUUUCAAGUCUAAAACACCAAACAUAAGGCAUAAUUGCGGCACUAAGUUAGUGCCCGCUAGAGGGUAAGAAUGAGUGGCAUUUUAGAUGCCACAUUUAGCAUUUCAAAAGCCAAGAACAAGGCAAAGUUGGGGCACCAAGUUGAUUCCCCCUAGAGCUAGGAUAGGUGGUAUUUUAGACGCCACUUUUGGCGUUUCAAACGCCAAGUUAGGAGCACAAUUGGGACACCAAGUUGGUGCUUCCUGAGGCACUAGGUGAGUAUGGCAUUUUAGAUGCCACAUUUGGCAUUUUAGACGCCAAGUCUAAGACACAAUUGGGGCACCAAGUUGGUGCCCCCUGGGGGUAAGAAUGAGUGGCGUUUAAAAUGCCAUUUUUGAAGUCUUAAACACUAAGGGUGAAGGUAAACUUGGGGCACCAAAUUCGUGCCCCCUGGAGGCUAGAUGAGUGAUGUUUUAAAUACAAUAAUUCAAGUUUAAAAUGUUAACUUUGAGGCUCAAAUGGCGCUAGCUUCCUUAUUCAAAGGCGUUGGAUAUAUUAAACGCUUCACUUUUCUUUUCUUCCUUGGUGUUGAAAACGCCACUUUAGAAACCCCCAAGAUGAUUUUGCUUGCUUCAUGCCUUGCCAACUUCUAGUCUUCUGUUCCUAGAAAUCAAUAAACAACAUUGCAUCAAACAGCAGCAAGAGUAGGCUUCUUGAAGCCACCAGAAGAGGCCUUCAGUAGCGGCAAGCGCUUUCUCGAUGACGUCCUUGAUGCUAGAGCUAAAAAUAUAAACACCAUCUCUCUCUCUCUCUAUCUCUCUCUCUCUUGCUUUGUGUAACAGAAAACUAGCUCAAAUGCAUUCACAAUUUUUUUUUCUAUGAACUUUGUAUGAGAAUGAUGAAGUUAGUUGUCAAGCAUGGGCAUAAGAAUAGAUCCGAUUAGAAUGAAAUUUAUUAAAUGUUCUUUAUUAAAAAAAUGGGUGAUACUAUCAUAGUCUUUCCAAGUUUGAUUAAAGAAUCAAAGCUUUUGUUCAAAAUUGGUAAUUACUUCCUGACUAGAUGUGUUAUUAUUUCUAAAUUGAAUCGAUCAGGUGAGUGAAGUAGUUGUAAGAGGACUCUCACAUUCAACUUCGUUCAAUAUGAGCCACCUAAAGUCCAAUAUGAAGCCAAAAAUGGGGAGAUUGUGCAUCAAACAAGCCAAGAGAAGGAGGUGAAGCGUGUAACACACUAUGGUAGUGAAGAGGGUGUGGUGAACAUGCCCAAACCAAGGCAACAGCCCCUGGAGCAUCAAUUUUCACAAUAAUGAAGCCUUAAACAUGCCAUGAGAGUGAAGAGUGUUUGGUGAACACGUCAUCACUCUGAUCUCUUCAUAUUCAAAGGAGAUUAACUUGAGUUACAGAGCUCCAAAUGAAGUGAGUUUAGUGAAAUUAUAAAGCUAACAUCUAGAGCUUCCAAUAAUAUAUAAUAGUUAAUAGUGGAUACUGAAUCUGAGGGUGUAAAUCACCAAUCUUUGCCACGGUAAAAAAGCUAAGCAUAGUACCAGCGUGUCACUGACCUCUUCAUACUCUAACAAGAAUAACUUGGGUCUUAGUAGUCCAAAUGAUGCUCUUCUAGCAGCGUUAGAAAGCUGACGUCUAGAGCUUUUCAACGAUAUAUAAUAGUACAUGGUAGACGUGAAGUUUGGACCAUGAACGACCCUCAUAAAAACAACUCCCAACAUAGAAGCAGUGUUAAACAUGCCAGAACAUAAAAGCAUGUGCUUUCAAUAACGCCUUCGAUAUUCUUUCAGCCAAAAUGCCAGGUUGACCUCUUUACAUUCAAUGGAUCAUAACUUGAGCUAUAUAGAUUUAUUCACUGCUUAUAUUCUUAAUUUCUUUAUGAGCUUUAUUGUUAUUUCAUUUCUA